UACGAAGGGGGCUAGCGUUGCUCGGAAUCACUGGGCGUAAAGCGCACGUAGGCGGAUUGUUAAGUCAGGGGUGAAAUCCUGGAGCUCAACUCCAGAACUGCCUUUGAUACUGGCAAUCUCGAGUCCGGGAGAGGUGAGUGGAACUGCGAGUGUAGAGGUGAAAUUCGUAGAUAUUCGCAAGAACACCAGUGGCGAAGGCGGCUCACUGGCCCGAUACUGACGCUGAGGUGCGAAAGCGUGGGGAGCAAACAGG
rnacentral:rRNA from 1 species